AAACCAUGACUUAUACUUUUCUAAAUUUUAAGAAUACAAACAUGUUUGGUAUAGUCAAUUACUUUUAAAAACAUGAACAUGGCAAUGAUGGUAACAGGGGCAAUAGUGACGGCAAUGGCGGUGUUGGUGGUAGCAAUGACAGUAAUGGCAAUGUGGCAGAGGCGGUAACAGCGAUGGCAGUGGUGUUGCAGCAGAGGUGGUGGCCCUAGUGAUUGUGAUGGCUACUGUCCAGUAUGGGUUUCAAAGAAACCCAAUAAUUCUCUUUUCCAAUCUCUUUUGGUUGAGAAGUCAUUCACCUCAUUUUGAGUUUUAAUCUCCUUCAUCCAAGAGAACAUCUACAUAUGUCUUUGCAUCCAAAAAAUUUUGAGGUGAAGUAGGAUCAAGCUAGGAGUGAAAAUAGUCAAAGUGUUUAAGAGAUGAAGGGUGGAACCCGGAGAAAGUGAGACAGAGAGGGAAGGGAGAGGGUGAAAAUGGAGAGAGAGUUUGGGGAGGGUAGAACUAGAGAAGAGAGGGCUAGAGGGAGUGAAGAUGUGGGAUAGGUUGAAGUCUUCUUUGAUGUGUGGGAGACAAAGAGGGAGAGAGAGAAAGAGGAACAUGGCAUGACAGAGAGGAAUAGGGAUAUUUUGGAAAAUUAACAUUAGCUUCCAGAUGGUUCGGUUGAUUAAGCGUGACAAGCCAUGUGGGACAUCCAGGCUUAGCUGCUUAGCUUCCCUCCUAAAAAUAUAUGCUCCUUACAUGGAUGCACAUUGUCACGCCCCCACCUGUGCGGGGCACGUGAGAAACCCAAUGCCCACGUGGAGGCUACAUGAGGGGGAACAUGGAGCUCCCCUAUUAGAUAUUGUCCGGUUUCGGGGCCCGCACGCACCGCUCAAACCCCUUCCCGG
rnacentral:lncRNA from 1 species